rnacentral:lncRNA from 1 species
AGACCCUUGUUGAGAGAUUUAUCAUGCUUCUAAGAUCAAGACACUAUUUCAGUAAGAUUCACUCUUCCGAAGUAUUAUUGCAUUAGAGGCAUGGGCUAUGCAAAAAUAGAAGAUAUUUCGAGGAAAUAAAAAGGAGCAAGUGCUCGACAACCUCGCAGAAAAAAUGGACAAGUGUCCGGCAGUAGAAUUAGGGGUACCUCGGUAUCCACUUAAAAAAAAUGAUAGCCCAUGGUCCCUCUAAUAAGCAAUAUGCCAGCAAGAGUUGAUAAAGUUUUUAAUUUCCAAAGUCUUUGAUCUAAGAGUAUGACAUUUCCCUCCUCGGAUCCCGU